GGCCGGAAGCGCGGGUUGCCAUGGGAACUCAGCACGCAGCUCCGCGCCGCGGUAGCGGGGUCGCUGCGGCUUGGCCUGGCUGAGGGGGGUGCAGAAUGCAUGCAGUAGAAAAGAAAGUCCGUGCCUUUGUGCGAGUCAAGCCAACAGCUCAGUUUGCUCAAGAUGUAAUCAAGUUUGGGCCAGACAACAAGAGCAUAGAUAUAUACAUCAAAAAAGAUGCCAAGAAGGGAGUUGUGAAUAACAAACAGACUGACUGGUCCUUCAAACUGGAUGGUGUCCUCCACAAUACCUCCCAGGAACUGACGUAUGAGACUGUAGCUAAGAAAUUGGUGUCUGAAGCUUUAGUUGGCUAUAAUGGUACAAUAAUGUGCUAUGGGCAAACAGGGGCUGGUAAAACUUACACAAUGACAGGAGCAACUGCAGAGUACAAGCAUCGAGGAAUCAUACCCCGAGCUGUCCAGCAGGUCUUCAAAGCAAUCACACGUUCUGUUGAUUCGUUCAUUACUGUCCGGAUAUCCUACUUGGAAAUCUACAACGAGACAUUGUGUGACCUUCUGUCUACCAUGACAAGCAGUGGGGCCAGUGACGUGCAGAUGGCUAUAGUGGAUUGCCCACAGGGUGUUUAUGUGAAAGGCUUAUCUAUACAUUCUGUUAGCGACGAGGAGGAUGCUCUAAAUCUCCUUUUUGAGGGUGAGACCAACAGAGUCAUAGCAGAACACACACUGAAUAAAAAUUCAUCCAGAUCUCAUUGCAUCUUUACUAUCUAUAUUCAGUCUCGUUUCAGAGUUCUCUCCGAUGUCAGAUGCAUCAAUUCUAAAAUCAACUUAAUAGAUUUGGCAGGCUCCGAGAGGCUGAGCAAGACUGGAUCUGAAGGGCGAGUGCUGAAGGAAGCUGCGUACAUCAACAAGUCUCUGUCAUUCCUUGAGCAAAUCAUCAUUGCCCUGGCUGACCCAAAGAGGGAGCACAUCCCCUUCCGGCAGAGCAAGCUCACUCAUGUUCUCAAGGACUCCUUAGGGGGAAAGUGCAAUACUGUCCUAGUGGCGAAUAUCUGUGGGGAAGCUCUGCAUGUAGAAGAGACUUUGUCUUCUCUUCGUUUUGCUACCAGAAUGAAAUGGAUCACAACAGAGCCAGUCAUUAAUGUGACAUACGACUCAGAGGGGACAGUGAAGGCUUUAGAGAAGGAGAUCAGUCUUCUGAAGCAGGAGCUGGCCAUGCAUGACAGCUUGGUAAAUCGUUCUUUGGUGACUUACGACCCUCUGACUGAUGUCCAGGUAGCAGAGAUUAAAUCUCAGAUCCAUAAAUAUCUGCAAGGAGACAUUGAUGAAAUUGACAUAAUGAACUUCAGGCAAGUGCAGGAGGUAUUUAGGCAGUUCAAGCUGAUUGUAAGGUAAGAUGUUCAGCGUUGAUACAUUCCACAGUAAGAUUUAGGAACCACAUCAACUGGCAUAUCACACUUAUCAGGACAUGGGUGGAAAAUAAUUGUGAAGUAUAGGGAAUAACUUGUAACUGGUAACAGCAUUCUGGACUAUUUCUGCUGGCUUUUGUUCAAGAAGAUGGCUGCCUUUAACCUACCAGUGCUUGUAAGCUACGUGCAAGGGUUCUUAAUGAUAAGCUUCACUCAUUCACAGCAAAUAUUGAGAAGCAUGAUAAGAAUGAUGUGGCUAUUUCUGAGAAAGUGUUCUCUGUCCAUGUGGUAUGGAGGUAAGAAAGUGUGAAAGUGUCUGAAAGUGUUACUGGUGAGUAAGGAGAGUUGUUCUUUUGGGCUGAAUGAGGGAAUGUAAAUGGCAGGCUGGGAAAAAUCGUGAAGAUGAGGGCAAGCAGUUUCCAUGUCAUGAAACAGAAGAGAACAAAGAGGGCUGAGGCUAUUAGGGCAGCUAACCAACCAUUCCAGUCAUGGUCUGGCUAGGCAGCAGACUGCAGUCAUUAUUCCAAGUUGGAAAGGACCCAUAAGGAUCACCGAGUCCAACUCCUAAGUAGGUUUUUCUACUACAACAAUGACAACAAGAUGCUGCUGUAGAAAAUCUGCCUGCCCUUGAGAAACUUGUCUUAACUCAGCUGUCUGUGCUGUGUCAUCAGACUAGGCAGUCUGGUUUUUCAGGGACCAAAGGCCAAAGUGGUAAAAUUUUGACCGAUUAUUGUGUUUUUCUGAACUUCAGACUCCUUUUAUUGUGCUGAAGCAGCAGCAGGCUUUGGGUUUUGUUUUGUUUCAUUUUUAACUUGCAGGUUUUCAGUCUUGAUUAGUUAAGUAACAAUAAUUAAUCCUAUGGACAGCGCUUCACCUGAUCCUUCCAGUGGAAAAAAAAAUCACUGUUUGAAAACCUCCAUGCUAGAGUAAGAUGUUAUAUUGGAGUGACGUGACUGAACAGAUGUGAUAGUAUUUGAUUUAGACUAUUAAUAGGUUGUGCUAAGUAUUUAAGUAUCCAUAAAAAGCUUCCAUAAGCUAUACAGUCUAAAGAAAGAAUAAGAAAGGAUGAGGAGAAUGGAAACAGGUUACAACACUUAGAGGAAGAGUAGAAGGAUCAAGACAGGGUGCUUGGCAAUGAGAUCACAGAAAACAGGCAGAUGAAGUGGAAACCAGAUUACGAAGCAAGUAUGUUCUGAUAGACAGAAACGACUUUGCUACUAUUUCUGCUGCUCAGAAGGUAAUGGCUGGUGCUUGGGCCCUGCCCAAAA